GACGAACGCUGGCGGCGUGCUUAACACAUGCAAGUCGAACGGAAAGGCCCUGCUUUUGUGGGGUGCUCGAGUGGCGAACGGGUGAGUAACACGUGAGUAACCUGCCCUUGACUUUGGGAUAACUUCAGGAAACUGGGGCUAAUACCGGAUAGGAGCUCCUGCUGCAUGGUGGGGGUUGGAAAGUUUCGGCGGUUGGGGAUGGACUCGCGGCUUAUCAGCUUGUUGGUGGGGUAGUGGCUUACCAAGGCUUUGACGGGUAGCCGGCCUGAGAGGGUGACCGGCGACAUUGGGACUGAGAUACGGCCCAGACGCCUACGGGAGGCAGCAGUGGGGAAUAUUGCACAAUGGGCGGAAGCCUGAUGCAGAAACGCCGCGUGCGGGAUGACGGCCUUCGGGUUGUAAACCGCUGUCGCCGGUGACGAAGCGGGAGUGACGGUAAUGGGUAAAGAAGCACCGGCUAACUACGUG
rnacentral:rRNA from 1 species